AGUCGAGCGCACCUUCGGGUGAGCGGCGGACGGGUUAGUAACGCGUGGGAACAUACCCUUUGGUACGGAAUAGCCUCUGGAAACGGAGAGUAAUACCGUAUGAGCCCUUCGGGGGAAAGAUUUAUCGCCAAAGGAUUGGCCCGCGUUAGAUUAGGUAGUUGGUGGGGUAAUGGCCUACCAAGCCUACGAUCUAUAGCUGGUUUUAGAGGAUGAUCAGCAACACUGGGACUGAGACACGGCCCAGACUCCUACGGGAGGCAGCAGUGGGGAAUCUUGGACAAUGGGGGCAACCCUGAUCCAGCCAUGCCGCGUGAGUGAUGAAGGCCUUAGGGUCGUAAAGCUCUUUCGCCUGUGAAGAUAAUGACGGUAGCAGGUAAAGAAACCCCGGCUAACUCCGUGCCAGCAGCCGCGGUAAUACGGAGGGGGUUAGCGUUGUUCGGAAUUACUGGGCGUAAAGCGCACGUAGGCGGACUGGAAAGUUGGGGGUGAAAUCCCAGGGCUCAACCCUGGAACUGCCUCCAAAACUAUCAGUCUAGAGUUCGAGAGAGGUGAGUGGAA
rnacentral:rRNA from 1 species